AUUGCCCUCUUUCUUUAGGCCUAACACAUGCAAGUCGAACGGCAGCACAGUAAGAGCUUGCUCUUACGGGUGGCGAGUGGCGGACGGGUGAGGAAUACAUCGGAAUCUACUUUUUCGUGGGGGAUAACGUAGGGAAACUUACGCUAAUACCGCAUACGACCUACGGGUGAAAGCAGGUGAUCUUCGGACCUUGCGCGAUUGAAUGAGCCGAUGUCGGAUUAGCUAGUUGGCGGGGUAAAGGCCCACCAAGGCGACGAUCCGUAGCUGGUCUGAGAGGAUGAUCAGCCACACUGGAACUGAGACACGGUCCAGACUCCUACGGGAGGCAGCAGUGGGGAAUAUUGGACAAAGGGCGCAAGCCUGAUCCAGCCAUACCGCGUGGGUGAAGAAGGCCUUCGGGUUGUAAAGCCCUUUUGUUGGGAAAGAAAAGCAGCAGGUUAAUACCCCGCUGUUCUGACGGUACCCAAAGAAUAAGCACCGGCUAACUUCGUG
rnacentral:rRNA from 1 species